rnacentral:rRNA from 1 species
AACGCGAAGAACCUUACCUGGUCUUGACAUCCACGGAAGUUUUCGGAGAUGAGAAUGUGCCUUCGGGAACCGUGAGACAGGUGCUGCAUGGCUGUCGUCAGCUCGUGUUGUGAAAUGUUGGGUUAAGUCCCGCAACGAGCGCAACCCUUAUCCUUUGUUGCCAGCGGUCCGGCCGGGAACUCAAAGGAGACUGCCAGUGAUAAACUGGAGGAAGGUGGGGAUGACGUCAAGUCAUCAUGGCCCUUACGACCAGGGCUACACACGUGCUACAAUGGCGCAUACAAAGAGAAGCGACCUCGCGAGAGCAAGCGGACCUCAUAAAGUGCGUCGUAGUCCGGAUUGGAGUCUGCAACUCGACUCCAUGAAGUCGGAAUCGCUAGUAAUCGUGGAUCAGAAUGCCACGGUGAAUACGUUCCCGGGUCUUGUACACACCG